rnacentral:rRNA from 1 species
AGAGUUUGAUCAUGGCUCAGGAUGAACGCUAGCUACAGGCUUAACACAUGCAAGUCGAGGGGAAACGACAUCGAAAGCUUGCUUUUGAUGGGCGUCGACCGGCGCACGGGUGAGUAACGCGUAUCCAACCUGCCCAUCACUUGGGGAUAACCUUGCGAAAGUAAGACUAAUACCCAAUGACGUUUCUAGAAGACAUCUGAAAGAGAUUAAAGAUUUAUCGGUGAUGGAUGGGGAUGCGUCUGAUUAGCUUGUUGGCGGGGUAACGCCCACCAAGGCGACGAUCAGUAGGGGUUCUGAGAGGAAGGUCCCCCANAUUGGAACUGAGACACGGUCCAAACUCCUACGGGAGCA